rnacentral:rRNA from 1 species
GGUUAAGUUAACAAGGGCGCAUGGUGAAUGCCUUGGCACUAGGAGCCGAUGAAGGACGGGACUAACACCGAUAUGCUUCGGGGAGCUGUACGUAAGCUAUGAUCCGGAGAUUUCCGAAUGGGGCAACCCAGCAGUUUUAAUCAACUGUUACCACUAGAUGAAUUCAUAGUCUAGUUGGAGGUAAACGCUGUGAACUGAAACAUCUCAUUAGCAGCAGGAAUAUAAAGAAAUUUCGAUUCCCUAAGUAGCGGCGAGCGAACGGGGAACAGCCCAAACCAAAGUGCUUGCACUUUGGGGUUGUAGGACUGAACAUUUGAGUUACCAAAGAACUUGAUAGUCGAAGGAUUUGGGAAAAUCCGCCAUAGAUGGUGAUAGCCCAGUAGAUUAAAUCAAAUUCUCUCAGUUCAGGAUCCUGAGUACGGCGGAACACGUGAAAUUCCGUCGGAAUCCGGGAGGACCAUCUCCCAAGGCUAAAUACUACCUAGUGACCGAUAGUGAACCAGUACCGUGAGGGAAAGGUGAAAAGCACCCCGGGAGGGGAGUGAAAUAGUUCCUGAAACCAUGUGCCUACAAUAAGUCAGAGCGCGUUAAUGCGUGAUGGCGUGCCUUUUGUAGAAUGAACCGGCGAGUUAUGAUCCCGUGCAAGGUUAAGACUAAAAAGUCGGAGCCGUAGCGAAAGCGAGUCUGAAAUGGGCGUUUUGAGUACGAGGUUAUAGACCCGAAACCAGGUGACCUAUCCAUGUCCAGGUUGAAGGUGCGGUAAAACGCACUGGAGGACCGAACCCGUGUAAGUUGAAAAUUGCUGGGAUGAGGUGUGGAUAGCGGUGAAAUUCCAAACGAACUUGGAGAUAGCUGGUUCUCUCCGAAAUAGCUUUAGGGCUAGCCUCGGAAUUAGGAUCAUGGAGGUAGAGCACUAUUUGGACUAGGGGCCCGUCUUGGGUUACUGAAUUCAGAUAAACUCCGAAUGCCAUUGAUUCAUAUCCGGGAGUCAGACGAUGAGUGAUAAGAUCCACCGUCGAAAGGGGAACAGCCCAGACCAUCAGUUAAGGUCCCUAAAUGUAUGCUAAGUGGAAAAGGAUGUGGAGUUGCAUAGACAACUAGGAUGUUGGCUCAGAAGCAGCCACCAUUUAAAGAGUGCGUAAUAGCUCACUAGUCGAGUGAUCCUGCGCCGAAAAUGUACCGGGGCUAAGCAUACUACCGAAACCAUGGAUGCGACCAUUAGGUCGCGUGAUAGGAGAGCGUUCUAAGGGCGGUGAAGCAAGAUCGUGAGGACUUGUGGAGCGCUUAGAAGUGAGAAUGCCGGUAUGAGUAGCGAAAGAUAGGUGAGAAUCCUAUCCACCGAAUGACUAAGGUUUCCUGGGGAAGGCUCGUCCUCCCAGGGUUAGUCGGGACCUAAGUCGAGGCCGAGAGGCGUAGACGAUGGAUAACAGGUUGAGAUUCCUGUACUAGUUAAGUGCGUUUGAGCAAUGGAGGGACGCAGGAGGCUAAGAUGUGCAUUCUGUUGGAUUAGAAUGUCCAAGCAGUAAGUCUUGUGGAGAGUCAAAUGCUUUUCACUUUAAGGACAAGCUGUGAUGGGGAGCGAAAUUUAGUAGCGAAGCGUCUGAUGUCACACUGCCGAGAAAAGCUUCUAGUGAGUACUUAACUACCCGUACCGCAAACCGACACAGGUAGUCGAGGAGAGAAUCCUAAGGUGAGCGAGUGAACUCUCGUUAAGGAACUCGGCAAAAUGACCCCGUAACUUCGGGAGAAGGGGUGCUGAUCGCAAGAUCAGCCGCAGUGAAUAGGCCCAGGCGACUGUUUAUCAAAAACACAGGUCUCUGCAAAAUCGUAAGAUGACGUAUAGGGGCUGACGCCUGCCCGGUGCUGGAAGGUUAAAAGGAUGGGUUAGCUUCGGCGAAGCUCAGAAUUGAAGCCCCAGUAAACGGCGGCCGUAACUAUAACGGUCCUAAGGUAGCGAAAUUCCUUGUCGGGUAAGUUCCGACCCGCACGAAAGGCGUAACGAUCUGGGCACUGUCUCAACGAGAGACUCGGUGAAAUUAUAUUGUCCGUGAAGAUGCGGACUACCCGCGACAGGACGGAAAGACCCCAUGGAGCUUUACUGUAGCUUGAUAUUGAGUGUUUGUACAGCUUGUACAGGAUAGGUAGGAGCCAUAGAAACCGGAACGCUAGUUUCGGUGGAGGCGUUGGUGGGAUACUACCCUCGCUGUAUGACCACUCUAACCCGCACCACUAAUCGUGGUGGGAGACAGUGUCAGGUGGGCAGUUUGACUGGGGCGGUCGCCUCCUAAAAAGUAACGGAGGCGCCCAAAGGUUCCCUCAGAAUGGUUGGAAAUCAUUCGCAGAGUGUAAAGGCACAAGGGAGCUUGACUGCGAGACAGACAGGUCGAGCAGGGACGAAAGUCGGGCUUAGUGAUCCGGUGGUACCGUAUGGAAGGGCCAUCGCUCAACGGAUAAAAGCUACCCUGGGGAUAACAGGCUUAUCUCCCCCAAGAGUCCACAUCGACGGGGAGGUUUGGCACCUCGAUGUCGGCUCAUCGCAUCCUGGGGCUGUAGUCGGUCCCAAGGGUUGGGCUGUUCGCCCAUUAAAGCGGUACGCGAGCUGGGUUCAGAACGUCGUGAGACAGUUCGGUCCCUAUCCGUCGCGGGCGUAGGAAAUUUGAGAGGACCUGUCCUUAGUACGAGAGGACCGGGAUGGACAUACCUCUGGUGUACCAGUUGUGCCGCCAGGCGCAUCGCUGGGUAGCUACGUAUGGAUGUGAUAAACGCUGAAAGCAUCUAAGUGUGAAACACACCUCGAGAUGAGAUUUCCCAUUCCUUUAUGGAAGUAAGACCCCUGAAAGAUGAUCAGGUAGAUAGGUUAGAAGUGGCAGUGCGGUGACGCAUGAAGCGGACUAAUACUAAUCGGUCGAGGACUUAACCAA